GCGGGGUGUUCGUUGGGCUCAUAACCCAAAGGUCGCUGGUUCGAAUCCAGCCCCCGCUA
rnacentral:tRNA from 1 species